rnacentral:lncRNA from 1 species
AAAGCGCUGGAGUGAGGCGGUCUGAGCAAGCUGUCGUCUGGACCCCAGACCUGCUGGUGGUGAACUAAAGCACCGAGUCAAAAGCAUGGUCAGCAGCAUGGAUGCUGUCUGCUCUGCCUCCCGUGGAACCUUUCCAAGUGCUCCCUUUGCCCGCUGCCUCUUACUCUGCAUUCUCCUUAAGGACCAACCUUCUUGAUCUUGAUCGAACAACCCAAUUUAUCUUAGUUUUAAAAUUUCCUCCAAGAAUACUCUUCUAGAUUUGGACUCUUAGUUUCUUCCAAAUAAUCAAGCCAAGCCUUGAGAGCAGGGCAGACAGCUUUACUUUUGGUAAGGAAAGCAGGCUUAGAAAAGUGGUGUUACCCAGUGCCUCAAUAAAACAGCUCAGUACAAAUAACCAUUUGGGGGGAUAAGAAGUCUUAAUGGCAAAGCACUUGCACAAACAAGAGGGUCCUGUAGACCUGCAAGUUUGUAAUCCCAGUGUACAUACAGGGGGGUGAGAGGUAGGAGAAUCCCUAAAUGAAGGAAGGGCCAGCUGUUUGCAGCAACAACUAAGACCCGUGGAAAGGACUGACAGCUGAGGUCAUCAGCUCCAAAUGCACACUGGCAAGUACAAGUCUGUACACAAGAAUGAAAAGCCAGCUCACCAGCUCCAUGGGAAGAUCUCUGGUUCUUUAAGAUUUACAAUGCAGUUAUUUGC